GCCUCUAUGGCACAGGGGUAAUGCGUGUCACUCGUACAGUGCUUACUUGCGAUGUUAUGACAAGAUCCGCGGUUCGAUUCCGCGUGGAGGCA
rnacentral:tRNA from 2 species